GAACGUACGCUGGCGGCACGCCUAACACAUGCAAGUCGAACGAAGUAGCAAUACUUAGUGGCAGACGGGUGAGUAACAUGUAGGUAUCUGCCCUUUGGCCUGGAAUAACACGAGGAAACUUGUGCUAAUACCGGAUAAGUCUUUACGGAGAAAGCUUUAUGCACCAUUGGAUGAGCCUGCACUUGAUUAGUUUGUUGGUGGGGUAAUGGCCUACCAAGACUGUGAUCAAUAGCUGAUUUGAGAGGAUGAUCAGCCACAUUGGGACUGAGACACGGCCCAAACUCCUACGGGAGGCAGCAGUGGGGAAUCUUGCACAAUGGAGGAAACUCUGAUGCAGCGAUGCCGCGUGAGUGAAGAAGGCCCUUGGGUUGUAAAGCUCUUUCGUCGGGGAAGAAAAUGACUGUACCCGAAUAAGAAGGUCCGGCUAACUUCGUGCCAGCAGCCGCGGUAAUACGAAGGGACCUAGCGUAGUUCGGAAUUACUGGGCUUAAAGAGUUCGUAGGUGGUUGAAAAAGUUGGUGGUGAAAUCCCAGAGCUUAACUCUGGAACUGCCAUCAAAACUUUUCAGCUAGAGUAUGAUAGAGGAAAGCAGAAUUUCUAGUGUAGAGGUGAAAUUCGUAGAUAUUAGAAAGAAUACCAAUUGCGAAGGCAGCUUUCUGGAUCAUUACUGACACUGAGGAACGAAAGCAUGGGUAGCGAAGAGGAUUAGAUACCCUCGUAGUCCAUGCCGUAAACGAUGUGUGUUAGACGUUGGAAAUUUAUUUUCAGUGUCGCAGCGAAAGCGAUAAACACACCGCCUGGGGAGUACGACCGCAAGGUUAAAACUCAAAUGAAUUGACGGGGACCCGCACAAGUAGUGGAGCAUGUGGUUUAAUUCGAAGAUACGCGCAGAACCUUACCAACACUUGACAUGUUCGUCGCGACUUUAAGAGAUUAAAGUUUUCGGUUCGGCCGGACGAAACACAGGUGCUGCAUGGCUGUCGUCAGCUCGUGUCGUGAGAUGUUGGGUUAAGUCCCGCAACGAGCGCAACCCUCACUUUUAGUUGCCAUCAUUAAGUUGGGCACUCUGAAAGAACUGCCAGUGAUAAGCUGGAGGAAGGUGGGGAUGACGUCAAGUCCUCAUGGCCCUUACGUGUUGGGCUACACACGUGCUACAAUGGUAUCUACAACAGGAAGCAAGACGGCGACGUCAAGCAAAUCCUUAAAAGAUACCUCAGUUCGGAUUGCACUCUGCAACUCGAGUGCAUGAAGCUGGAAUUACUAGUAAUCGUGGAUCAGCGUGCCACGGUGAAUGCGUUCCCGGGUCUUGUACACACCGCCCGUCACACCAUGGGAGUUGGUUCUACCUUAAGGCAAGGUUUAAAACCCUUGACCACGGUAUAGUCAGCGACUGGGGU
rnacentral:rRNA from 1 species